rnacentral:lncRNA from 12 species
AUCGUUGCUAAGGAAUUUAUUCAGCCUUUGCAGUUCAAUGAGGUGACUCAGAGAGUCAGAGGGGCUCAUCACAGCCCUGCCUUCCCCUGGGCAGGUCCCUUGUGCCAUCAGCCACAGAAAUAUGGUAAUUCGUCCUGUAUUUAAUGCUGCCUCUCCUCCCAGAAACUGCAGCAGGCAUCACAGGCAGAGCUGACAACAGCCAAUGCCCAGGGAGAUGUCUCAGCCCAGCCAAGGCAGGGAGGUGGGGAUGGGAAAAGCUGAGGUGGUUCUGCUCAGCUCACAGGGCUGCAUGGGAUGAGGUGGGCAAGGGGAUCAUUGUCUUUACACAAAAACAACACAAACCAGCCACGCUGCUUCAUCCAAAAUGCAGCAUUUUGUGCAGUUGUGGCCAGUCUAAAGGCAGCUCCUUCGGGAAAACUGUGGGGAGAAAAAGCUUCCAGGGCACUUUGGACCACAUGCAAAGCUGGACAGAAGCUCCUGCCUUUCUGACCCAUGUGCCUGGGGACAUGGUGUCAUUGUCAGGAAGGGAAUUCUCAACAAGCUUUGUACCAAGGAAUUGCUGGGAGACCCACUCAAUGAAAAUUCCUGACACAAGCCAUCACCAACAAGCUGAAAAGGUAAGACAACACACAAAUAUAAGAUUUUAUGUAAAGUCCAUCCCCACUGCAAAGCAAAGCUGUAUCCCAGGGUGUCCAUCUGCCCAUGGGUGGGAGGGAGAGAGGACCUCAUGGUGAAUUUGUCUCCCUCUCAUAACUUCUUGCCUUUUGCCCCAGCCCAGUGAAUUUCCCAGCUCCCCUUGCCCAGGGCUGCUGAGUGAUGCACACACGGAUGCUCAUGCACGCACACACACUAUUCAAAAGAGAGGAAAAAAAGCUGCAGAACAACUUCCAAAAAACUCAUUUCACUCAUUAUGUUCUCCAGGUAUCUUUCUCUUGAUCCUCUGCCUCCCUGCUUUUUGCUAAACAAAAUCAAGACCAGAGCUUUCUCAUUCUCUUCCUAACAGAGUCUGUGCAAAGCUAUGGCAAACACCUUCAGUUAUGGACCCAGGAGCACCCCACAAACCUGGGGGUGUUACAUGAUCACAGAGCAAGCCCUCCCUGCUCCCAGAGGCUCCAUCCCAGUUUCCAUGGCCGUGCACCAGGGUCCCUAGCUCACCCCAGGAGUGGCUGUGCAAGCCCUGCUGGGUGAGUGUGCGUGUCCUGGGGCAGCCAGAGGGUAUCCAAGACACACCACAAGUAACAAAUAACUGAUUUUCCUGUUGAGUCUCUAACCCAAAAGUUAGGGAACAAAAAGAUUUUAUAAAAUC